GCCGCCGGCUGCCUCCCCGCGCUCCGGCCAACGGCUAGAUCCGGCCGCCACGUCCCUGCGGCGCCCGCAGCCACGGUGCCCGGACCCCAUCUCCACCUAACCACGGCGACCCCAACUAGGCGCUCCCAGCCCCAGCACCACCGACCCCUGCACUACGUCGUCCCAUCUCCUCAACACCGGCGAUUGUGCCACAUUGCACCGCCGUGGCCAGCUCUCCUGCAACCGGCGGCGACUCUCCCUUCCUCCCGCACGACCAUCUGCCCCAGGUCAAGCAAGUUCAGAAAUUGCAGCGCCCUGCAGUUCGUGAGAAUUUCAAAGUUCACACUCCAUUAAGUCAGGGAGAGUCUAGUUUUGCUGCUAGAUCAUCUCAUCUCGUUCGUUCAGCAAAAGGCUCAAGAUAAGUUCAAACUCCAGACUAGUUCACACUUAUGGUUUUGCUCUUUGGUUUAAUACUUCAGUCCAGGCUCCUUUGGUUUUUGUUCUAGAGAAGUUCAAAGUUCAGACUCAUUCUGUUUCUGUUUAGGCAGGGGGAGGGAGCAGCGAGGUGAGUGGCAAAAAAAAA